AGGUUAAGCACUCACCAGAAAUUCACUUCCUCACUAUGGUUAGGCGAGGUAAAGCGUGAAUCUGAACAAUCUCAGACAAGAGGAGAACAACGGCUAAAUUGUGCUGUGGUGAAGCUGCGAACGCGAGAAGAUGAGCGAACGAUGAUGUUGUUACGUUUCUGCGACCAGAUGGAAAAAGAGAGAUGAUUGUUGUUGUGAGUAGAGAGUGAGAUGGUCGGAGAUGAGUGGGACGAGAAAAGUGUAUCAGAGUGAGAUGAGAAACAAAUGAGAAA
rnacentral:lncRNA from 1 species